rnacentral:lncRNA from 1 species
UGGGUUGUGUUGGGCUGCGGCUUCUAAGUCGGAAAUACUUAAUCCACAGCAAAAGAAAAGUGCUCUCUUGGCUGAGCUCUUUGGAGCCAUCAGAACCCAUCCCUGCCCUGAGGGACUUCACCUGAGGACAGACGAAGAACCAGAAGGAGCAAAAUUAUAUUGAGCAACACCACAGCAGCAGGUGAUGAGAAGUGCCUUGCAGUGACUAACGCAGCUUUGUGCACUGGAUUUUACAAGCUCUCCUGUAUCUCGGCAUGUUUGUUUGAAGAAGCUAAUUAAAUUACUGCAACAAGGUACAGAACAGUUUGUUGUUUGUUUGGACAGUUUGGAACUUCCUGCUCACAACAGAGACUGGAUAUGGCACAAUUCAGGAGCACUGCUCAGACCACCAAGUUUUCCUUGAUCAAACAGAUCAGUUUCCACGUCUUGUGUUCUAUGCAGCAUUCAGGCUUCAGCAUCAUAAGCUGUCAGUUCCACUAAUUCAUGGUAUCUUCCUCAAGGCUUAGUGCCACCCCUCCACAUUCUUCAGCUCCAUUAUUUGUACUGGCAGGGCAUUACUGCUUACAACAAAAUAUGUGCACAAUACGGCUGUAGCAAGUAAAGUGAAAUUGUCUACUUUAGGUUUCCAAAGCUUAACGAACAUUAUAGGUACCUUAUACUUUCAAAUCCCAACAUUCAUCUUGCUGUUAUGGUCCCCUGCUAUUCUGGCUUGGGACCAAAUGUACCCUAAAAACUUCUAUUAUCGGUC